AUUGAACGCUGGCGGCAGGCCUAACACAUGCAAGUCGAGCGAGCGGCGGACGGGUGAGUAAUGUAUGGGGACUGCCCGUUAGAGGGGGAUAACUACUGGAAAAGGUGGCUCAUACCGCAUACUGUAGGAUAACCCAUAUGGGAUUUGCUAGUAGGUAUGGUAAUGGCUUACCUAGGCGACGAUCCCUAGCUGGUCUGAGAGGAUGAUCAGCCACACUGGGACUGAGACACGGCCCAGACUCCUACGGAGGCAGCAGUGGGGAAUAUUGCACAAUGGGCGCAAGCCUGAUGCAGCCAUGCCGCGUGUAUGAAGAAGGCCCUAGGGUUGUAAAGUACUUUCAGUCGGGAGGCGUUACCGACAGAAGAAGCACCGGCUAACUCCGUGCCAGCAGCCGCGGUAAUAC
rnacentral:rRNA from 1 species